rnacentral:rRNA from 1 species
AACGAACGCUGGCGGCAGGCUUAACACAUGCAAGUCGAACGGGAUCUUCGGAUCUAGUGGCAGACGGGUGAGGAACACGUGGGAACAUCCCUUUCAGUUCGGAAUAACGUUGGGAAACUAACGCUAAUACCGGAUACGUCCUUCGGGAGAAAGAUUUAUCGCUGAAAGAUUGGCCCGCGUCUGAUUAGCUAGUUGGUGUGGUAAUGGCUCACCAAGGCUACGAUCAGUAGCUGAUCUGAGAGGAUGAUCAGCCACAUUGGGACUGAGACACGGCCCCAAACCCUACGGGAGGAGGCAGUGGGGAAUAAUGGACAAUGGGCGCAAGCCUGAUCCAGCCAUGUCGCGUGAGUGAUGACGGCCUUCGGGUUGUAAAGCUCUUUUGUCCGGGAAGAUAAUGACUGUACCGGAAGAAUAAGCCCCGGCAAACUUCGUGCCAGCCGCCGCCGUAA